UUAGGGCUUUUUAUGCCCGUUUCCUUUAGUUGAUCGGGCAAAGGGAAGAACAACUACAAGCAGACGAACGAAGAGAGGGAAGAAGAGGCACGAAGGCGGCGACCGUACGCCCCCGGUAUUGGCUAGAUUCGGGGAAAGAGAAGCUCGGAAACUGAAGGGAGGUGGUCUCGGUGUUGGUAAUCGAUUGAAUGAGGGGGCUUCUCUGGUGUCUGGCCGAAACGAAGGAGGGGAAGAGACGAAAGCAGCGAAGCUCUCUCAUUCUCGUCUAGCUGCGAGGCGCGAAUGAAGAACGAGGUCCGAAGGAGAGUCCGGGAGGGGAUAGGUCAGCAGCGACGUCGUGGUAGGCGUCAGUAGGGAUUGGCAGCAAGGGUCGUCGGAAGGAAAGGAAAGGUACGAGGUUGGGGGAUCAAAGGAGGCUGUCGCCUCCCGUGUUUGCUCCGGGGAAACACCCACUUCGGUGGGUUUUGCUCGACGGAAGUAGAAGUGAAGGUUGUGUGGGGUGGGCUAUUUGCGAUCGGUGGUAAUAGGGGAAAAUGAAGAACGAAUGAUGGAUGUUGCUGCUUGCCAUCGGUAUGAAAGAAGAAGAAAAAGGGUAUGAAUACUCUGAUUAUUAUUUAGAGAAACUUGGAGUAUUUGUAACUCCUAAGUUAUACAAUUGUUUGUUUGGUAAAGAGUAUAAUUUUCAUUUUGUUUUGGCUGUCAAUUUAAAAGGUGGAUUUGAUUUUUGAUUGACUUUAUGUAUUAUGUGUUUUGUUUGGUGAAAAAUGAAGCAAAGGCUUUCCCA